rnacentral:snRNA from 1 species
ACGCAGGAUCGGUCCGCCAUAAA